rnacentral:rRNA from 1 species
UUGUCUCAAAGAUUAAGCCAUGCAWUKCUCAGKACAAGGCMAAAUUAAGGUGAAACCGCGAAAGGCUCAUUAAAUCAGUUAUGGUUCCUUAGAUCGUACCCACAUUUACUUGGAUAACUGUGGUAAUUCUAGAGCUAAUACAUGCAAACAGAGCUCCGACCGGAGACGGAAGGAGCGCUUUUAUUAGAUCAAAACCAAUCGGUGGCGAUUUCCGUCGUCAUCGUACAACUUGGUGACUCUGAAUAACUUUAUGCUGAUCGCACGGUCUUGCACCGGCGACGCAUCUUUCAAAUGUCUGCCUUAUCAACUGUCGAUGGUAGGUUCUGCGCCUACCAUGGUUGUAACGGGUAACGGGGAAUCAGGGUUCGAUUCCGGAGAGGGAGCCUGAGAAACGGCUACCACAUCCAAGGAAGGCAGCAGGCGCGCAAAUUACCCACUCCCGGCACGGGGAGGUAGUGACGAAAAAUAACGAUACGGGACUCAUCCGAGGCCCCGUAAUCGGAAUGAGUACACUCUAAACCCUUUAACGAGGAUCAAUUGGAGGGCAAGUCUGGUGCCAGCAGCCGCGGUAAUUCCAGCUCCAAUAGCGUAUAUUAAAGUUGUUGCGGUUAAAAAGCUCGUAGUCGAAUCUGUGUCCCGCGCCGCCGGUUCAUCGUUCGCGGUGUUAACUGGCGUGCCGCGGGACGUCCUGCCGGUGGGCUUAGCUCGCAAGGGCGGCCCAACUCAAUCCCGCCGCGGUGCUCUUCAUUGAGUGUCGAGGUGGGCCGGCACGUUUACUUUGAACAAAUUAGAGUGCUUAAAGCAGGCUAAAACUUUGCCUGAAUACUGUGUGCAUGGAAUAAUGGAAUAGGACCUCGGUUCUAUUUUGUUGGUUUUCGGAACCCCGAGGUAAUGAUUAAUAGGAACGGAUGGGGGCAUUCGUAUUGCGACGUUAGAGGUGAAAUUCUUGGAUCGUCGCAGACG